CUGGUAACAGUUGUGGCAGGGUAAACCCCACCUGGAGCAAGACCAAAUAGAAGAGCAGUUUGUUUCGACAAACAGAUACGGCCCGUAUCGUUCUUGGGUAGGUUGCUUGAGGCAAGUAGCGAUGCUUGUCCCAGAUGAAUGAUUGUUCUCGACAGAACCCGGCUUAUCGGCCAUCUCUAACU
rnacentral:RNase_P_RNA from 1 species